UGGGGAAUUUUGGACAAUGGGCGAAAGCCUGAUCCAGCCAUGCCGCGUGAGUGAAGAAGGCCUUCGGGUUGUAAAGCUCUUUUAGUCGGAAAGAAAAGAUCAUAAUGAACAAUUAUGAUUCAUGACGGUACCGACAGAAAAAGCACCGGCUAACUACGUGCCAGCAGCCGCGGUAAUACGUAGGGUGCGAGCGUUAAUCGGAAUUACUGGGCGUAAAGGGUGCGCAGGCGGUCUUGCAAGUCAGAUGUGAAAGCCCCGGGCUUAACCUGGGAAUUGCGUUUGAAACUACAAGGCUAGAGUGCAGCAGAGGGGAGUGGAAUUCCAUGUGUAGCAGUGAAAUGCGUAGAGAUGUGGAAGAACACCGAUGGCGAAGGCAGCUCCCUGGGUUGACACUGACGCUCAUGCACGAAAGCGUGGGGAGCAAACA
rnacentral:rRNA from 1 species